GCCAGUGUGGUGUAAUGGUUUGAGUUCUGGCCUAUAACUCUGGAGACCAGGGUUCAAAUCCCCACUCAGCCA
rnacentral:tRNA from 1 species